rnacentral:pre_miRNA from 1 species
AUAGUACUCCCUCCGUCCCAAAAUUCUUGUCUUAGAUUUAUCUAGAUACGGAUGUAUCUAAUACUAAAACGUAACUAGAUACAUCCGUAUUUAGACAAAUUUAAGACAAGAAUUUUGGGACGGAGGGAGUAGUUC